rnacentral:rRNA from 1 species
GGUUAAGCGACUAAGCGUACACGGUGGAUGCCCUGGCAGUCAGAGGCGAUGAAGGACGUGCUAAUCUGCGAUAAGCGUCGGUAAGGUGAUAUGAACCGUUAUAACCGGCGAUUUCCGAAUGGGGAAACCCAGUGUGAUUCGUCACACUAUCAUUAACUGAAUCCAUAGGUUAAUGAGGCGAACCGGGGGAACUGAAACAUCUAAGUACCCCGAGGAAAAGAAAUCAACCGAGAUUCCCCCAGUAGCGGCGAGCGAACGGGGAGCAGCCCAGAGCCUGAAUCAGUGUGUGUGUUAGUGGAAGCGUCUGGAAAGGCGUGCGAUACAGGGUGACAGCCCCGUACACAAAAAUGCACAUAUUGUGAGCUCGAUGAGUAGGGCGGGACACGUGGUAUCCUGUCUGAAUAUGGGGGGACCAUCCUCCAAGGCUAAAUACUCCUGACUGACCGAUAGUGAACCAGUACCGUGAGGGAAAGGCGAAAAGAACCCCGGCGAGGGGAGUGAAAAAGAACCUGAAACCGUGUACGUACAAGCAGUGGGAGCACAGAGCAAUCUGUGUGACUGCGUACCUUUUGUAUAAUGGGUCAGCGACUUAUAUUCUGUAGCAAGGUUAACCGAAUAGGGGAGCCGAAGGGAAACCGAGUCUUAACUGGGCGUUAAGUUGCAGGGUAUAGACCCGAAACCCGGUGAUCUAGCCAUGGGCAGGUUGAAGGUUGGGUAACACUAACUGGAGGACCGAACCGACUAAUGUUGAAAAAUUAGCGGAUGACUUGUGGCUGGGGGUGAAAGGCCAAUCAAACCGGGAGAUAGCUGGUUCUCCCCGAAAGCUAUUUAGGUAGCGCCUCGUGAAUUCAUCUCCGGGGGUAGAGCACUGUUUCGGCAAGGGGGUCAUCCCGACUUACCAACCCGAUGCAAACUGCGAAUACCGGAGAAUGUUAUCACGGGAGACACACGGCGGGUGCUAACGUCCGUCGUGAAGAGGGAAACAACCCAGACCGCCAGCUAAGGUCCCAAAGUCAUGGUUAAGUGGGAAACGAUGUGGGAAGGCCCAGACAGCCAGGAUGUUGGCUUAGAAGCAGCCAUCAUUUAAAGAAAGCGUAAUAGCUCACUGGUCGAGUCGGCCUGCGCGGAAGAUGUAACGGGGCUAAACCAUGCACCGAAGCUGCGGCAGCGACACUAUGUGUUGUUGGGUAGGGGAGCGUUCUGUAAGCCUGUGAAGGUGUGCUGUGAGGCAUGCUGGAGGUAUCAGAAGUGCGAAUGCUGACAUAAGUAACGAUAAAGCGGGUGAAAAGCCCGCUCGCCGGAAGACCAAGGGUUCCUGUCCAACGUUAAUCGGGGCAGGGUGAGUCGACCCCUAAGGCGAGGCCGAAAGGCGUAGUCGAUGGGAAACAGGUUAAUAUUCCUGUACUUGGUGUUACUGCGAAGGGGGGACGGAGAAGGCUAUGUUGGCCGGGCGACGGUUGUCCCGGUUUAAGCGUGUAGGCUGGUUUUCCAGGCAAAUCCGGAAAAUCAAGGCUGAGGCGUGAUGACGAGGCACUACGGUGCUGAAGCAACAAAUGCCCUGCUUCCAGGAAAAGCCUCUAAGCAUCAGGUAACAUCAAAUCGUACCCCAAACCGACACAGGUGGUCAGGUAGAGAAUACCAAGGCGCUUGAGAGAACUCGGGUGAAGGAACUAGGCAAAAUGGUGCCGUAACUUCGGGAGAAGGCACGCUGAUAUGUAGGUGAAGUCCCUCGCGGAUGGAGCUGAAAUCAGUCGAAGAUACCAGCUGGCUGCAACUGUUUAUUAAAAACACAGCACUGUGCAAACACGAAAGUGGACGUAUACGGUGUGACGCCUGCCCGGUGCCGGAAGGUUAAUUGAUGGGGUCAGCGCAAGCGAAGCUCUUGAUCGAAGCCCCGGUAAACGGCGGCCGUAACUAUAACGGUCCUAAGGUAGCGAAAUUCCUUGUCGGGUAAGUUCCGACCUGCACGAAUGGCGUAAUGAUGGCCAGGCUGUCUCCACCCGAGACUCAGUGAAAUUGAACUCGCUGUGAAGAUGCAGUGUACCCGCGGCAAGACGGAAAGACCCCGUGAACCUUUACUAUAGCUUGACACUGAACAUUGAGCCUUGAUGUGUAGGAUAGGUGGGAGGCUUUGAAGUGUGGACGCCAGUCUGCAUGGAGCCGACCUUGAAAUACCACCCUUUAAUGUUUGAUGUUCUAACGUGGACCCGUAAUCCGGGUUGCGGACAGUGUCUGGUGGGUAGUUUGACUGGGGCGGUCUCCUCCUAAAGAGUAACGGAGGAGCACGAAGGUUGGCUAAUCCUGGUCGGACAUCAGGAGGUUAGUGCAAUGGCAUAAGCCAGCUUGACUGCGAGCGUGACGGCGCGAGCAGGUGCGAAAGCAGGUCAUAGUGAUCCGGUGGUUCUGAAUGGAAGGGCCAUCGCUCAACGGAUAAAAGGUACUCCGGGGAUAACAGGCUGAUACCGCCCAAGAGUUCAUAUCGACGGCGGUGUUUGGCACCUCGAUGUCGGCUCAUCACAUCCUGGGGCUGAAGUAGGUCCCAAGGGUAUGGCUGUUCGCCAUUUAAAGUGGUACGCGAGCUGGGUUUAGAACGUCGUGAGACAGUUCGGUCCCUAUCUGCCGUGGGCGCUGGAGAACUGAGGGGGGCUGCUCCUAGUACGAGAGGACCGGAGUGGACGCAUCACUGGUGUUCGGGUUGUCAUGCCAAUGGCACUGCCCGGUAGCUAAAUGCGGAAGAGAUAAGUGCUGAAAGCAUCUAAGCACGAAACUUGCCCCGAGAUGAGUUCUCCCUGACUCCUUGAGAGUCCUGAAGGAACGUUGAAGACGACGACGUUGAUAGGCCGGGUGUGUAAGCGCAGCGAUGCGUUGAGCUAACCGGUACUAAUGAACCGUGAGGCUUAACCUU